rnacentral:rRNA from 1 species
UACAGAGGGGGCAAGCGUUGUUCGGAAUUACUGGGCGUAAAGGGCGCGUAGGCGGCCUGUUAAGUCGGACGUGAAAUCCCUCGGCUCAACCGGGGAACUGCGUCUGAUACUGGCGGGCUUGAGUUCGGGAGAGGGAUGUGGAAUUCCAGGUGUAGCGGUGAAAUGCGUAGAUAUCUGGAGGAACACCGGUGGCGAAGGCGGCAUCCUGGACCGACACUGACGCUGAGGCGCGAAAGCCAGGGGAGCAAACGGG